ACUAAAUAGAUACCCUGGUAGUCCACGCUGUAAACGAUGAGAGCUAGUUGUCGGCACGCAUGCGUGUCGGUGACGCAGCUAACGCAUUAAGCUCUCCGCCUGGGGUAGUACGGCCGCAAGGUUAAAACCUCAAAGAAAUUGACGGGGGUCCCGCACAAGCGGUGGAGCAUGUGGUUUAAUUCGAAGCAACGCGCAGAACCUUACCCGACGUUUGACAUGUCUCGUUUGGUCGCCAGAGAUGGCUUCCUUCAGUUCGGCUGGCGAGAACCACAGGUGCUGCAUGGCUGUCGUCAGCUCGUGUCGUGAGAU
rnacentral:rRNA from 1 species